GAUGUCGGCCUUCUCCAGCUUGGAGUUGGGCUGGUGCCGCGCGAACUCCUGCUCCAGCAGCAGCUUCAGCUGCUCUAUGCUGCUGUUGAUGCGGUCCCGACGCAUCUUCUCCACCACCGGCUUCCGCAGCUGCGGGAGGAGAGGCGUCAGGUGGGCGGCGGACGCCGGAGGCCCCGGGGGAACCGGACGGCGCGCGCCGGGCGAGUUGCACUUACUCGGUUUUUCUCCUUGGGACUGAGCAUCUCCACCGCCACGGUACUUGGGGCCAUGCCUGGAGCUCUGGAGGCGAUUAGCGAGCGGAGCGGAGCGGAGCGGACAGAGCCAGGCGUCCCGGACUGGCGCGACCUGGACCCCAGCACGCCAGCCCUAUAUAGGCGCGGGCAGCGGCCCGGCGCCUGGGGUCCGGGCGCCGCGGCCGUUCCCACACUCGGCGGCCAAUGGCGGCGCCGGCCGCACAAAGGCGCCGGCCCAUUAGCGCACGCUAAAUUGCCUGUGAAUUGGCGCGGGCACAAUGGUCGCUCCCCGAGGAGCAGGUGGGCCGCGCGGCACAAUGUCCGGGCUGUGGGAACGCGCUCGCCCUCAUUAGCAUCCCGGGGCCUGAUGCUGAGAGCCCCGCGCCUCAAUAUGCUGCCUUUUCCCAGGCCGCGGGGAGGUGGGGAGGGCAGGAAGGAGUGCUCUCCCCCCCCCUUCUCUCCCUUCUUCCCUCCCACUCCCCAGAGGCUCCCCACCGCUGGCUGGCAGAGGCCACAGGCGCAGAGAAAUGAGAGUUUUACAAUGAACAGACAGCGACUUCCAGAGGAGUGGGCACCCUCCCCAGCUGGGACCUGUUGCCCACAGGCACAGUGGGUUAAAGUGGGCCACAUUCUCUCAAACAGAUGCUGCCGCCAUGCCAUUCGCAGGUACAGGAUGAGAGAGGGACUCAUGUAUUUAGAAUUUAGGCGCUUUAUUGCCAGUUCUGUCAGUUGAGAGGAGUGACUUCUCCGCAGCUAGAAAUGGCCACGCGCGGAGCCUGCCAAGCGUACUUCUAGGCUAGCUGAAUUUGCUUUGGAUAAUGCCUAGCACAAAGCCCCAUACCUAGGAAGCCCUCAGGAACCCCUGAACCCACAGGGUAUCUGGACUGCUCUUGUGUCACCAGGUGCCACAUGCAUCUCUGAAACAGGAGGACCGUGCCUCCUUCAUGCUGUCCGUGAUCACUACUCCCGCGUGGCUUUUAGGAAACCAUGGCUGCCCUUAACUCCUCUCAUGACAUCCCCCUCAGCUCGUGCGGGCGCGCGCGUGCAUGCCUCUGUGUGUGUGUUCCAGUUUCAUUCAGCAUUUUGUGUUGGCAGGUAGAAGGUGGGAGACCUAAAAAUAAGCCCCCAUAUGAAUGCUGUGCCAGUGUGGAUGGGCCUCUUUGUAAGAACUGAUAACCGUGGUUCCUAACCAGGUGACCUUACUAGUCACACCCUAGACACCUAGGGGAUGGCCAUGUAGGAGCGUCCCUCCAUCUGGAACCUGUACUAUUUCCCCAAUACUCUGCAGGGGCUGAGGGAGGAGAUAAGGCCCCGUGCUUCCUCCUAGGGUCAACCUAAGACCUAGCCAGGCCCAAACCAGGAGGCUGGCAUCAGAGCACAAUAGCCAGUGUGGAAUGAAACCAGGUUCUCUGGAUGGAUGUCAGCCAUGUCUGAGCUCAGGAACUGAAGGGCCUUCACAGUGCCCACUAGGGAAACGCCCUCCUGCUAUGGUAGUGACCCACUGCUGUAAAUGAUCUAUUCCGAAGGUCUUGCUCCAGAAGCUCUUAGCACAAGGGGUUGUUGGGUUACCAUGGAUGGAAGCAUCUGGGACAGAGGGGAAGGCUUGGCUUUGAGGCAGCACAGGAUGGUCUGUCCAGUGCAAGAUAUAAGUGCAGAAUUCACCUCCCUUAGUCCCUGCCACAACCCUCACCCGAGCUCUGACAGAGGUACCCUGUAAGUGCAGAAGGGAGGCUCGGGGCUGUAUGUCUGGGCUUCUGCUUCUACAGCCCUGAGAUCUAGCAGUGGUUGGCACUGUGUGGUGGUCAAGCAGCCCCCUCAAACUACAAGGAAGAGGAGUCUGGUGGUUCUCAGUGAAAUCUUGUUUGCAGCCAACAAGAAGUUCACACCACAUGGUAGUCAAAUUUAGCCAUGUCGUGGAUCUCGGACUCCUGGGAGUGGGGAGGGCAGGAAAAUCUGGUCACCUGUGUGCCUGUCCUGUAUGCCCUGCAGGAAGGGCUCAGGAGCCUGAUUAGGCAUUCAAAGGUCCUAGGGAAUACAAACAGACCAGGGAGGGCGUGAAGCCCACCAACCGGAAACAGAGUCUGAGUCUAUAUGCUCUGACCAUUGCUCCUGGCUGCUGGCAGCAAGGACCCAAGACUGUACCUGGAUAUGGGGGUCAUCUAGGCACAGACUUGCUUCCCAACACUCUGGUGGGAACAGUUGGCUAAGGCUUGUGUUCUGUACUUCCAGUAAGUACCUUCCCCUGAGCCAGCUCCUCACCCAAAUGAGACGCGUGCCAGGAGAUAUGGUCCAACCUCCAUCCCACCCCAACCUCCCGCCCACCCGCGGUGGGUUAGGAGAGCCGGCCUUCCAGAGGUGAGGGUGGUGGGUGGGCCAUGGGGAGGGCCACCCCCUCCCCUGCCCCUCCUCAACCCCCUCCCCCUCCCUCUCCCCCUAGCAGCUUUGAUCCAAUUUUCAGUUGUGGGAAAUAUGAAAUGAAUGGUGUUAAAUCCCAGCCGGAUGAAAGGCUGGUUGCCUCCCCGAGUGCGGGCCAGAUGGCAGCCCAGGCGGCCUCUGAGGCACACGCCUGGCCUUUGUGGGCCGUUUAACACUGUGAAUGGGGCCAAAGUGUGGGAAACUCUCUGGGCUCCUGGCUCACACCAUCCGACUUGAGUAGCUGCAAAGGGGGAGGGGUAAAGGCUGCCUCUGGCUGGCGGGCUUUGCCCGGCAGAAGCACUGCGGGGUGGGGGAGGGGCGCUGGGCUCCUCCUGCCGCGGCAGCCACAUAGGGCAGGAUUGGAGUCCUCUAGUUUGCCUUUCCUGUACCUUUCAGAGCAUCCCACCUGAGCGCUCAAUGGGUCUGGGCGAAGGGACAGUAGUUGAGGGGGCAGGGCCUGGAGGGGCAAGACCCCUCUGUGGGGGGUGCUCACGCUAUUUUGUACAUUGGGGUGGAAGUGGGGAUCCUGUAAACUGAGUCUGCCUGGUUACUCUGAAAGUCACAACCCAAUCCCUUCUUUAGUAAGCUGGCUGAGUUGGAUGAGAAAGAACUCUGCUCCCAGUCUCUGAAGGAAGGCUCAUUAUGGGUGGGAGUGCAGCCCUGUGAUAAACAGUUUGGAGGACAAACAAAAAAUUAAAACAAUUAUUUUAUAAC
rnacentral:lncRNA from 1 species